AAGGUUAACCGUAUAGGGGAGCCGGAGGGAAACCGAGUCUUAACCGGGCGUUAAGUUGCAGGGUAUAGACCCGAAACCCGGUGAUCUAGCCAUGGGCAGGUUGAAGGUUGGGUAACACUAACUGGAGGACCGAACCGACUAAUGUUGAAAAAUUAGCGGAUGACCUGUGGCUGGGGGUGAAAGGCCAAUCAAACCGGGAGAUAGCUGGUUCUCCCCGAAAGCUAUUUAGGUAGCGCCUCGUGAAUUCAUCUCCGGGGGUAGAGCACUGUUUCGGCUAGGGGGCCAUCCCGGCUUACCAACCCGAUGCAAACUGCGAAUACCGGAGAAUGUUAUCACGGGAGACACACGGCGGGUGCUAACGUCCGUCGUGAAGAGGGAAACAACCCAGACCGCCAGCUAAGGUCCCAAAGUCAUGGUUAAGUGGGAAACGAUGUGGGAAGGCCCAGACAGCCAGGAUGUUGGCUUAGAAGCAGCCAUCAUUUAAAGAAAGCGUAAUAGCUCACUGGUCGAGUCGGCCUGCGCGGAAGAUGUAACGGGGCUAAACCAUGCACCGAAGCUGCGGCAGCGAACGUAUCACCCAAGACAACUUUACGGAGUUGACGAUUGACGGAGCGAAGCGACGUCAAAGCGUUCAUUAAAGUCGAGUUGGCUUAGGGAUACGUUCGUUGGGUAGGGGAGCGUUCUGUAAGCCUGUGAAGGUGUGUCGUGAGGCAUGCUGGAGGUAUCAGAAGUGCGAAUGCUGACAUAAGUAACGAUAAAGCGGGUGAAAAGCCCGCUCGCCGGAAGACCAAGGGUUCCUGUCCAACGUUAAUCGGGGCAGGGUGAGUCGACCCCUAAGGCGAGGCCGAAAGGCGUAGUCGAUGGGAAACGGGUUAAUAUUCCCGUACUUGGUGUUACUGCGAAGGGGGGACGGAGAAGGCUAUGUUGGCCGGGCGACGGUUGUCCCGGUUUAAGCGUGUAGGUGUGUGUUCCAGGUAAAUCCGGUUCACUUUAACACUGAGGCGUGACGACGAGGCACUACGGUGCUGAAGCAACAAAUGCCCUGCUUCCAGGAAAA
rnacentral:rRNA from 1 species